rnacentral:rRNA from 1 species
UGGGGAAUAUUGGACAAUGGGCGAAAGCCUGAUCCAGCCAUGCCGCGUGUGUGAAGAAGGUCUUCUGAUUGUAAAGCACUUUAAGUUGGGAGGAAGGGCAGUAACUUAAUACGUUGCUGUUUUGACGUUACCGACAGAAUAAGCACCGGCUAACUCUGUGCCAGCAGCCGCGGUAAUACAGAGGGUGCAAGCGUUAAUCGGAAUUACUGGGCGUAAAGCGCGCGUAGGUGGUUUGUUAAGUUGGAUGUGAAAUCCCCGGGCUCAACCUGGGAACUGCAUUCAAAACUGACAAGCUAGAGUAUGGUAGAGGGUGGUGGAAUUUCCUGUGUAGCGGUGAAAUGCGUAGAUAUAGGAAGGAACACCAGUUGCGAAGGCGACCACCUGGACUGAUACUUACACUGAGGUGCGAAAGCGUUGGGAGCAAACA